AUUGAACGCUGGCGGCAGGCCUAACACAUGCAAGUCGAGCGAGUGGCGGACGGGUGAGUAAUGUCUGGGAAACUGCCCGAUAGAGGGGGAUAACUACUGGAAACGGUAGCUAAUACCGCAUACUAUCGGAUGUACCCAUAUGGGAUUAGCUAGUAGGUGGGGUAACGGCUCACCUAGGCGACGAUCCCUAGCUGGUCUGAGAGGAUGAUCAGCCACACUGGGACUGAGACACGGCCCAGACUCCUACGGGAGGCAGCAGUGGGGAAUAUUGCACAAUGGGCGCAAGCCUGAUGCAGCCAUGCCGCGUGUAUGAAGAAGGCCUUCGGGUUGUAAAGUACUUUCAGCGGGGAGGCGUUACCCGCAGAAGAAGCACCGGCUAACUCCGUGCCAGCAGCCGCGGUAAUUC
rnacentral:rRNA from 1 species